rnacentral:rRNA from 1 species
ACGUAGGUGGCGAGCGUUAUCCGGAUUUACUGGGCGUAAAGGGUACGUAGGCGGUGCUGCAAGUCGGCUGUGAAAUCUCCCGGCUCAACUGGGAGGGGACGGUCGAAACUGCAACACUGGAGGUACGUCGAGGCAAGUGGAAUUCCCGGUGUAGUGGUGGAAUGCGUAGAUACCGGGAGGAACACCAGUGGCGAAAGCGGCUUGCCAGGCGUUACCUGACGCUGAGGUACGAAAGCGUGGGGAGCGAACCGG